rnacentral:rRNA from 1 species
CGAAGUGGUUGAUGCCAUGCUUCCAAGAAAAGCUUCUAAGCUUCAGGUAACCAGGAACCGUACCCCAAACCGACACAGGUGGUUGGGUAGAGAAUACCAAGGCGCUUGAGAGAACUCGGGUGAAGGAACUAGGCAAAAUGGCACCGUAACUUCGGGAGAAGGUGCGCCGGUGAGGGUGAAGGACUUGCUCCGUAAGCUCAUGCCGGUCGAAGAUACCAGGCCGCUGCGACUGUUUAUUAAAAACACAGCACUCUGCAAACACGAAAGUGGACGUAUAGGGUGUGACGCCUGCCCGGUGCCGGAAGGUUAAUUGAUGGGGUUAGCUAACGCGAAGCUCUUGAUCGAAGCCCCGGUAAACGGCGGCCGUAACUAUAACGGUCCUAAGGUAGCGAAAUUCCUUGUCGGGUAAGUUCCGACCUGCACGAAUGGCGUAACGAUGGCGGCGCUGUCUCCACCCGAGACUCAGUGAAAUUGAAAUCGCUGUGAAGAUGCAGUGUAUCCGCGGCUAGACGGAAAGACCCCGUGAACCUUUACUAUAGCUUUGCACUGGACUUUGAAUUUGCUUGUGUAGGAUAGGUGGGAGGCUUUGAAGCGUGGACGCCAGUCUGCGUGGAGCCAACCUUGAAAUACCACCCUGGCAACUUUGAGGUUCUAACUCAGGUCCGUUAUCCGGAUCGAGGACAGUGUAUGGUGGGUAGUUUGACUGGGGCGGUCUCCUCCUAAAGAGUAACGGAGGAGUACGAAGGUGCGCUCAGACCGGUCGGAAAUCGGUCGUAGAGUAUAAAGGCAAAAGCGCGCUUGACUGCGAGACAGACACGUCGAGCAGGUACGAAAGUAGGUCUUAGUGAUCCGGUGGUUCUGUAUGGAAGGGCCAUCGCUCAACGGAUAAAAGGUACUCCGGGGAUAACAGGCUGAUACCGCCCAAGAGUUCAUAUCGACGGCGGUGUUUGGCACCUCGAUGUCGGCUCAUCACAUCCUGGGGCUGAAGCCGGUCCCAAGGGUAUGGCUGUUCGCCAUUUAAAGUGGUACGCGAGCUGGGUUUAGAACGUCGUGAGACAGUUCGGUCCCUAUCUGCCGUGGACGUUUGAGAUUUGAGAGGGGCUGCUCCUAGUACGAGAGGACCGGAGUGGACGAACCUCUGGUGUUCCGGUUGUCACGCCAGUGGCAUUGCCGGGUAGCUAUGUUCGGAAUAGAUAACCGCUGAAAGCAUCUAAGCGGGAAACUAGCCUCAAGAUGAGAUCUCACUGGAACCUUGAGUUCCCUGAAGGGCCGUCGAAGACUACGACGUUGAUAGGUUGGGUGUGUAAGCGCUGUGAGGCGUUGAGCUAACCAAUACUAAUUGCCCGUGAGGCUUGACCAU